UCUGCGGCCGGCCCGUCCACGGGGGAAAAGUUCAGCCAAUGGGCGCGCGCCCCUCAUCCCGGGCUCCGGAGCGCCCGCUUGGCCGCUCCUAUUCCGGCGGGUGGCCGCCCAGGGCCACGCCCGGCUGCCCGUCGCAAGGUGGGAGAAUGCGGCGAGACCGGAGUGGGAGAGCGCGGGCAGCCAUUGUGGCGUGCUCCCGCAGCGCCUACGUGGAGUCCCGCGCCGGGUCCGUGAGAGGGGAGCCGCGGCUCUGUGGACUCCUGCAACCUCGGCGGGAUGCUUUUUAGCGAGGAAACCGAGCGUGCGUCUUGUCCAGCGCCGCGGACCAAUCGUGCCGCAAUAAUACCGUACAAAACGUAUCGAUGGUGAGAAAAGUUAGAAUAAUGGUGACCCCGGGAAUGGAAGGGGCACGAGGGAACCUACUGGGAGCUGGAAACGUUCUGUCUCCGGAUCUGUUUAAUUCUCAGGAUCAGCUGAAAAACUCUGAGAAGACAGAGGUAAAAUAUUGCCUCCCCUACAAUUCCUGGUGACAAUGAUGGGACAUCAGUGACCGUAACACUAAGAGAUCAGGUCCCAUCUGACCAAAGGCCAGGAGAAGGAAACAGAACGCCGCAAUGACCACUGGUGCAUGUUCGCUCAGACUGGAGAUCUCUGAGAAAACUCAAGG